CUCUAGGUCUCACCGCUCAUGUACGCCACUACCGUCGAAAAAAUGCCCUUCAUUAUCAUCUCAAAAGUAGCUUCUAAUUGAACAUCUAAUCUUCACAAUACAUUUCAUUUCAUGCAUUAAAUACGACGCCAAACAGUAAUGCCGACAAGAACAAACAGGGGUUCACUCGAGUAAUUUCAAGGAGCUGUAAAAAUUGCUAGUACAACACAAUAUACUGCAUACACAUCAUAGUCACAUUUGUUAUAGUAUCGUGAAUUACUCACCAAACCGAACGUGUCAUAAUCACAGUUGUUUUGGCAAUUAGAAGAAGAUUGAUCUUGAACGAGUGCCCGUCAUUGAUAAGCUUCAUUAAGAAUGGUCAAAAUGGAACAUGAAGAUGGUAAAAAUGAACCUGAGCACGUCCGCAAGCUUUUUAUUGGUGGUCUUGAUUACCGCACUACAGAUGACUCUCUCAAAAAACAUUUUGAGCAGUGGGGAGAAAUUGUAGAUGUAGUGGUGAUGAAAGAUCCGAAAACAAAAAGAUCAAGAGGUUUUGGUUUUAUUACCUAUUCUCGUGGCCACAUGGUUGAUGAUGCCCAAAAUGCAAGACCCCACCGAGUCGAUAAUCGAGUAGUUGAACCCAAAAGGGCAGUCCCCAGGCAAGAGAUUGGACGACCUGAAGCUGGAGCAACGGUUAAAAAGCUCUUCGUUGGUGGCUUGAAAGAUGACCACGAAGAAGAGGAUUUAAGACAAUAUUUCCAAGUAUACGGAAGUAUAAAUUCAAUUAGUGUCGUCACUGACAAAGAGACUGGAAAAAAACGAGGAUUUGGGUUUGUUGAGUUUGAUGAUUACGAUCCGGUUGACAAAAUUUGUCUUCAAAGAAACCAUCAGAUCCGUGGGAAACAUGUUGAGGUCAAAAAGGCCUUAAGCAGAGCAGAAAUGGCAUCAGCGUCUGGAGGUAGUGGUGGUGUCGGCGGUGGUGGUAAUGGCGGCGGCGGUAGUGGGAGCGGAGGUAGUAAUAGUAGUAACCGCGGCGGUCCAGGUAAUACUCGCGGAGGCCAAGGUGGUGGCAGAGGUCCUCGUAGUAGUGACGGUGGAAGUUGGGGUGUUCGUGGAGGAGGUAGUAAUGAUUGGAAUAACGGUGGUGGAAAUCAAGUGGGUGGGGGCAAUCAAGGUGGAGGUUAUGUUGGUGGAAAUCAAGGAUGGGGAAGUGGCAACGGACCAUGGGAUAGCCAAAAUCAAGGAGGAGGAUGGGGAGGCCAAGGUCAGGGUUCAUACAACAGUGGAGGAAACUGGAGCAAUGAUAACUUCGGUAGUGGAUACCAACAAGGUUAUGGCGGCGGACCAGUUAGGAACAAUUUCAACUCCGGUGGACGGCCGGCACCCUAUGGUAGUAGUAUGGGUCCAAGUGGUCGACAAUCUGGAGAAUCGAGGUGGAUUCCUCAAUUUGGUGGACAAGGACCGAUGACCGGAAACUCUGGCGUCGGUGGUGGCUAUGGAGGUGGAAAUCAAGGUGGUUAUGGCGGGAAUAUGGGAGGAGGUGGCGGCAACAUGGGCGGAGGAGGUGGAAGACGAUACUAAAAAUCAACAGAACAACUCUCUUGAACGCAGAUAAAAUGGAGCUUCAUUGAGCAAUGACGAAACUAAAGGGUUAUUUGGUUUAGAAAACAUAUCAGUCAGUAAAAAUAACUUCACUGCAAUUUAUCAUGAAUAUGCUUUAGAUGAUGAUUUUGAUAAAAAUGGUUUAAAUUAACCUAAUAAUGAUAAGCCAAGUGAUGUAAAUGACAACGAAGAUCUUGAAAGUUAUUUACUCUCGACAAACUUCACCUUUCCAAGUACCACUGCAAGUUGUCGUGCUUCACAAACUACUGAUGGUCAAAGUGAUGUUGUAUUACGAUCUUCCAAGAAUUUUCUUGCAGUUCGAUUAGUAAUAAGUCGAAACAAUAUAAUAAAUUACUCGAUGUUGCAAGGAAAUUAUCAUCAGACAUGGUCACUAUAACUAUUUGUUUUUUCUCCGAUUGGAUAUUAAAAAAUAAUUAUGUACUAUUAAAUAGAUUAUUAAACUGAGCAAGCUUUGAAAAUUACUAUUGGCCGGAACGAUGCUGUACUACGAUCUUCCAAUUGUUUCCUUGGUGUACUAUUUUUCUUUAUUACUUUUGCAAAACAUCUUGAUAAAAAAGAUUUUCUCAUGUCAAAUCAGUAUCUAACUGACCUGUCAAUAAAUACAACAUAACAAAAAUAA
rnacentral:misc_RNA from 1 species